AUUGAACGCUGGCGGCAGGCCUAACACAUGCAAGUCGAACGAGUGGCGGACGGGUGAGUAAUGUCUGGGAAACUGCCCGAUGGAGGGGGGUAACUACUGGAAACGGUAGCUAAUACCGCAUACCAUCGGAUGUGCCCCGAUGGGAGUGUCUAGUAGGUGGGGUAACGGCUACCGUAGGCGACGAUCCCUAGUUGGUGGGAGAGGAUGACCAGCCCCACUGGAACUGAGACACGGUCCAGACUCCUACGGGAGGCAGCAGUGGGGAAGAUUGAACAAUGGGCGCAAGCCUGAUGCAGCCAUGCCGCGUGUAUGAAGAAGGCCUGCGGGUUGUAAAGUACUUUCAGCGAGGAGGCGUUACUCGCAGAAGAAGCACCGGCUAACUCCGUGCCAGCAGCCGCGGUAAUUC
rnacentral:rRNA from 1 species